rnacentral:rRNA from 1 species
AGCUUGCUGGGUGGAUUAGUGGCGAACGGGUGAGUAACACGUGAGUAACCUGCCCUUAACUCUGGGAUAAGCCUGGGAAACUGGGUCUAAUACCGGAUAGGAGCGUCUACCGCAUGGUGGGUGUUGGAAAGAUUUAUCGGUUUUGGAUGGACUCGCGGCCUAUCAGCUUGUUGGUGAGGUAAUGGCUCACCAAGGCGACGACGGGUAGCCGGCCUGAGAGGGUGACCGGCCACACUGGGACUGAGACACGGCCCAGACUCCUACGGGAGGCAGCAGUGGGGAAUAUUGCACAAUGGGCGCAAGCCUGAUGCAGCGACGCCGCGUGAGGGAUGACGGCCUUCGGGUUGUAAACCUCUUUCAGUAGGGAAGAAGCGAAAGUGACGGUACCUGCAGAAGAAGCACCGGCUAACUACGUGCCAGCAGCCGCGGUAAUACGUAGGGUGCGAGCGUUAUCCGGAAUUAUUGGGCGUAAAGAGCUCGUAGGCGGUUUGUCGCGUCUGUCGUGAAAGUCCGGGGCUUAACCCCGGAUCUGCGGUGGGUACGGGCAGACUAGAGUGCAGUAGGGGAGACUGGAAUUCCUGGUGUAGCGGUGGAAUGCGCAGAUAUCAGGAGGAACACCGAUGGCGAAGGCAGGUCUCUGGGCUGUAACUGACGCUGAGGAGCGAAAGCAUGGGGAGCGAACAGGAUUAGAUACCCUGGUAGUCCAUGCCGUAAACGUUGGGCACUAGGUGUGGGGACCAUUCCACGGUUUCCGCGCCGCAGCUAACGCAUUAAGUGCCCCGCCUGGGGAGUACGGCCGCAAGGCUAAAACUCAAAGGAAUUGACGGGGGCCCGCACAAGCGGCGGAGCAUGCGGAUUAAUUCGAUGCAACGCGAAGAACCUUACCAAGGCUUGACAUGUUCUCGAUCGCCGUAGAGAUACGGUUUCCCCUUUGGGGCGGGUUCACAGGUGGUGCAUGGUUGUCGUCAGCUCGUGUCGUGAGAUGUUGGGUUAAGUCCCGCAACGAGCGCAACCCUCGUUCCAUGUUGCCAGCACGUCAUGGUGGGGACUCAUGGAAAACUGCCGGGGUCAACUCCGAAGAAAGGUAAGGACGACGUCAAAUCAUCAUGCCCCUUAUGUCUUGGGCUUCACG